rnacentral:lncRNA from 1 species
AAUGGGUAUGCCGAGAAAACAUGCAGUUCCCCUAUAAGCCGGGACCAGAGCGGCGUUUCCUCCUCCGGCCUCAGCCUGCAACAAGGCUGAUCCAUCUCAGAGGUGGAGUCUGGGGAACAGGGGAGUCUGAGGGCUGGAGGUGGAGUUUCAUAACACAGAUGGAUGUUCACCACCAUGGCUUUCUCAGACUUUUAAACCAGAAUGAGGUUCAGAGAGCUGUCAGAGGAUGUUGAAUGAACAGAAAUGGAAAAUUGGAACCAAUAUACAUUGAGCUACUUUGUGAAUCACAGUGGGAAAGCGUUGGAGUCCCAGCCUCACAUCACUUAAGACCCCACUCACUCAUAUCCACUGACAGCAGCACUCUCGCAGCCUGCUCCCCAUACCAGGGGGCACUUUCUCCAGGAUGAGCAAGAAAAACUGUUCUCCACUGUACCAGAUAUGGGUUUGAUGAAUUCAGCCCUGUGCAUAUCCAUGAAGGCCACCCAAGAACUUCCAGAAACUUCUGGUUCACCAUGAUCACCAGAAGAACAUCAAUGGAAUUAUUUCCAGUGCCUCGACACUUUGAAGGGAGGCUCAGUGUCCUGAGGCCAAGAUCAGAGGCCCCUUUAAGGUCCCCAGUGGCCAGGGAGGUAGCCUCAGGCUCAGGGCUGACAUCUUACCUGAACUCGGUAAGUUCCUUGCUGAGGUUUUCUGAUAUUACAAUCUGCAAUUGUUCUACUAGAAACUGUUAGUGCCUCAAUCAAUUUGAAAGGUCUUGGGGAAUAAUGACCCCUGUCAAACCUCACACGAUGGGAAGGUUGAGGCUGCAUUGCAGCUUCUUAUAGUCUGGUGCCAAGAGUUGGUUAAGACAAAGUCCAUUGAACUAGGCACCUUUAGGGUUGGUGGCCUUUAACAGAAACCUGUGAUGGC